GCUGGGCGUGGUGGUGCACGCCUGUAAUCCCAGCUACUCGGGAGGCUGAGGUGGGAGAAUUGCUUGAAACCAGGAGGCGGAGGUUGCAGUGAACUGAGAUGGUGCCACUGCACUCCAGCCUGGGUGACAGAGUGAGAGUCCAUCUCAA
rnacentral:SRP_RNA from 1 species